UCCGCGCGUCCUGACGACAAUCUCUUUCUAGCACAUUGUACCGAGAAACUAAGAUGACAUUAAGGUGUGAAUAUAGGCACGGAAGAGGAGGACAACUGUCGUAGCUUAAUAUGCGUAAGAGUGAAACAGCACUAAUCCAAAGAAAAAAGAUGGCGUCAUCACUUCGCUUUGAAUGACACUCUCUCUAUGUCAAUUUACCUCUAUGGACGUUUGCUGUGAUUGGCAGUCAUCGUCAUCGGAUUGCAUGAUUUGAGUUUCCACUAGACUUGUGUUAUGGACGGAUUUUACGGGCUGUGAUUGGUCGUAUUCAAAUCAAUGACAUAUUUGAUGACAUUUAAAAGAAAUACGUAACCCUGUUUUCGCGUUUGUUUUUGUUUAUGCAGUGUGUUUAUGUUAUACAAAAGAAAAAUAUUGAUAUUUUAGUUAUUAAUCUUGGAUUUUGAGACUAUUUUAUACGUUUAUACUUGUUUAUUGUACUCAUUUUUAAACAGCCAUAUUAUUUCCAGCAAAAGUUAUGGAACGUUUACAGAUAGAUAGUAAUAUUUAUAAAAAAAAACAAAUUACUUUCUACUUGCUUCCUAUAUUUUGUAAAUUUUUAAAGCUUCCUCCCAGACUCAUUUGAGUAUAAGGUGGUUCAUUUUUCCGAAAUAAAUGGAAAGGAUGGCGCAUUUAAUGCAGUGAUUUGAGCUAAUAUAACAACACAAGAAGAUGCUCAAAAUUGUCAAAAAGAAUAUGAAAAUGUUAAUAAAGUAAAUUUUAGAGUUCUAAGAACUUAUCCAAAUGAUUCUAUGAAGCUUGUUUUCAAGAAAGACUAUCGAUGCCAUCGCAAUACUCAGGCUAAUUUGCCUUCAUCAAAGACAAAAAAUCCGUCAUCUAAACAUGUUAACUGUCAGGCAUUCUUAAUAAUUACAGUGAAACCAUCAAGUAUGAAAAGGUAAAGUCUAUUUGCUAAUCUGAGACACAACUACUGUCUAGUGACGUUGGUAAUUUUUUUUUGAGAAGUUAGGUUGCUAGACGUAACUGGAAAAGACUACACAACCAAACAUAACUACUCAUAGCCAAUAUUAUUAUUAACAGUAAACAGGCAUAAAUAACAUAACAUACACCAUACACCAAUCAAUAAUUAUUUAUUUAAACCUUUAUAAUGUAUUGAUAACAGAUGAGAAAAGUAUUUAUUGUACAAAAUAAAAAUAUUUUAUAGAAAUAAAUUCCACAAAAUUUUA
rnacentral:lncRNA from 1 species